rnacentral:rRNA from 1 species
CAUGGAGAUAGCGGGACCCGGGCGUUGGUUGACCCGGGCGAAAGGGACCGAACAUAAGUAGGGAAGUCCGCGAUGCUCUGUGGCGAGAAAAGGCGAAGAUAGGGUGCCCGUACCGCAAACCGACACAGGUAGAUGAGGAGAGAAUCCUAAGGCCAACGGGAGAAAGGUUGUUAAGGAACUCUGCAAAAUGGUCCCGUAACUUCGGGAGAAGGGACGCCUCCGAAAGGAGGCCGCAGUGAAAAGGCCCAAGCGACUGUUUACCAAAAACACAGGUCUCUGCUAAAUCGAAAGAUGACGUAUAGGGGCUGACGCCUGCCCGGUGCUGGAAGGUUAAGAGGAGGACUUAGCGCAAGCGAAGGUCUGAAUUUAAGCCCCAGUAAACGGCGGCCGUAACUAUAACGGUCCUAAGGUAGCGAAAUUCCUUGUCAGGUAAGUUCUGACCCGCACGAAUGGCGUAACGAUUUGGGCGCUGUCUCAACAGCCUACCCGGCGAAAUUGUAGUACCGGUGAAGAUGCCGGUUACCCGCAACUAGACGGAAAGACCCCAUGGAGCUUUACUGCAGCUUAAUACUGAGAUUCGGUAAUUCAUGUACAGGAUAGGUGGGAGACUUGGAAACAGGGGCGUCAGCUUCUGCGGAGUCACCCUUGGGUUACCACCCUUGGAUUGCUGGGUUUCUAACCUGCGGCCAUGAAUCUGGUCGGGGGACACUGUUAGGCGGGCAGUUUGACUGGGGCGGUCGCCUCCUAAAAAGUAGCGGAGGCGCUCAAAGCUUGGCUCAGCAUGGAUGGAAAUCAUGCAAUGAGUGUAAACGUAUAAGCCAAGUUGACUGCGAGACCGACGGGUCGAGCAGGUACGAAAAUAGGAGUUAGUGAUCCGGUGGUAUGUGAGUGGAAAUGCCAUCGCUCAACGGAUAAAAGCUACCCUGGAUAACAGGCUGAUCUCCCCCAAGCGUCCACAGCGACGGGGAGGUUUGGCACCUCGAUGUCGGCUCGUCGCAUCCUGGGGCUGUAUUCGGUCCCAAGGGUUUGGCUGUUCGCCAAUUAAAGCGGCACGCGAGCUGGGUUCAGAACGUCGUGAGACAGUUCGGUCCCUAUCUGUUGCGGGCGUAAGAGAUUUGAAGGGAGCUAUCCUUAGUACGAGAGGACCGGGAUGGACUGACCGCUGGUGCACCAGUUGUCCUGCCAAGGGCAUAGCUGGGUAGCUACGUCGGGACGAGAUAAACGCUGAAGGCAUCUAAGCGUGAAACUCCCCCUAAGAUAAGAUCUCUCAUCCUGAAAAGGAGUAAGGCUCGUCGUAGACUAUGACGUUGAUAGGUCAGGGGUGUAAGCACGGUAACGUGUGUAGCUGACUGAUACUAAUAAGCCGAGGGCUUGACCG